GACGAACGCUGGCGGCGUGCCUAAUACAUGCAAGUUGAGCGCUGAAGGUUGGUACUUGUACCAACUGGAUGAGCAGCGAACGGGUGAGUAACGCGUGGGGAAUCUGCCUUUGAGCGGGGGACAACAUUUGGAAACGAAUGCUAAUACCGCAUAAAAACUUUAAACACAAGUUUUAAGUUUGAAAGAUGCAAUUGCAUCACUCAAAGAUGAUCCCGCGUUGUAUUAGCUAGUUGGUGAGGUAAAGGCUCACCAAGGCGAUGAUACAUAGCCGACCUGAGAGGGUGAACGGCCACAUUGGGACUGAGACACGGCCCAAACUCCUACGGGAGGCAGCAGUGGGGAAACUUCGGCAAUGGACGAAAGUCUGACCGAGCAACGCCGCGUGAGUGAAGAAGGUUUUCGGAUCGUAAAACUCUGUUGGUAGAGAAGAACGUUGGUGAGAGUGGAAAGCUCAUCAAGUGACGGUAACUACCCAGAAAGGGACGGCUAACUACGUG
rnacentral:rRNA from 1 species